UACGUAGGGGGGCAAGCGUUGUCCGGAAUUAUUGGGCGUAAAGAGCGCGUAGGCGGUCCGAUAAGUCGGCUGUGAAAGUCAGGGGCUCAACCCUUGAAAGCCGGCCGAUACUGUCGGACUAGAGUCCGGAAGAGGCAAGUGGAAUUCCCGGUGUAGCGGUGAAAUGCGCAGAUAUCGGGAGGAACACCAAUGGCGAAGGCAGCUUGCUGGGACGGUACUGACGCUGAGGAACGAAAGCUAGGGGAGCAAACAGG
rnacentral:rRNA from 1 species